CGUCUAAACCCAUGCAUCGCCUCAAAAUGACAUUUUUUAGGAUGUGGUUGUAUACGGUAAUGUCUACUACGCAUGCCCUCAACGGUGUUUAGAAGGGAGGAUAUAAAGUUGGAUCUAUUUUUCCUUUGUCAUAUUGACGCUUGGCUUAUCUACGGUGUUCAUACGUAUUGGUUGUCGUUUAUAUCAAACGGUGUUUCGUUAUCCUGAUUUCAGCGACUGCACGUUGAAUAUCUGCCUCGUCCAGUUUCCCAUAUCCAUCGUGUGAUCGUCAAGGCAGCGAACCCAUGGCGGACUCGGUGGAGACGUUCCAGACCCACCUAACCUCUGUCAUGGACAGUUUGAUCCGCGCAUCGGUGUGCGAGAUCACCAAACUGUUCCAGGACACGGUGAAUGACUAUCUGGUGGAAAUAUCGCUGAACAGGAAGGAAAUGGACGCUCUGAAACUCCGACUCCGACUGACGGAGAACAAACUGAGAAAUGAACGCAAGUACGGGAUGGGGUGGGCAGAGAAUCGCCGCAAUGCUGGUUUGAUAGUGUCUGAGGACGGUGGGCGGAAAAAGCGGAAAAUUGAAGUGCCUCGAGGAAAGCAGACGCUGGGCCUUGCCUUUGGAGGCGCGGGGGAGGAAGGAGGAGGAGCAGCCAGGGUAGUAACGGGGGGAGGGUGGAAGGAGGCACGCGAGCUGUACCUCAUUCAGUUCCCCGGGGAGGAAGGAGAACUAGAGGAGGAGGGGGGCUGUGUUUCGGGAGAGGGGGAGGAGACGGACAACAUCAAAGAGGAGUCCAGUGACAUGGUGGAGGGGGGCUACCAGCCUGCGUCUCUGCGGCUGAUCAAGGAAGCCCUGAAGAUGGACCCGCCCAACCAGAACCGCCAUACUGGAUCCAGAACCCACAGCGAAGGUACUGACACCAGCUCGGAACCAAAAACAUGAUUACAAC
rnacentral:lncRNA from 1 species